rnacentral:rRNA from 1 species
AACGCUAGCGACAGGCUUAACACAUGCAAGUCGAGGGGCAGCACAGGUAGCAAUACCGGGUGGCGACCGGCGCACGGGUGAGUAACGCGUAUGCAACUUGCCUAUCAGAGGGGGAUAACCCGGCGAAAGUCGGACUAAUACCGCAUGAAGCAGGGGCCCCGCAUGGGGAUAUUUGCUAAAGAUUCAUCGCUGAUAGAUAGGCAUGCGUUCCAUUAGGCAGUUGGCGGGGUAACGGCCCACCAAACCGACGAUGGAUAGGGGUUCUGAGAGGAAGGUCCCCCACAUUGGUACUGAGACACGGACCAAACUCCUACGGGAGGCAGCAGUGAGGAAUAUUGGUCAAUGGGCGCGAGCCUGAACCAGCCAAGUCGCGUGAGGGAUGAAGGUUCUAUGGAUCGUAAACCUCUUUUAUAAGGGAAUAAAGUGCGGGACGUGUCCCGUUUUGUAUGUACCUUAUGAACAAGGAUCGGCUAACUCCGUGCCAGCAGCCGCGGUAAUACGGAGGAUCCGAGCGUUAUCCGGAUUUAUUGGGUUUAAAGGGUGCGUAGGCGGCCUUUUAAGUCAGCGGUGAAAGUCUGUGGCUCAACCAUAGAAUUGCCGUUGAAACUGGGGGGCUUGAGUAUGUUUGAGGCAGGCGGAAUGCGUGGUGUAGCGGUGAAAUGCAUAGAUAUCACGCAGAACCCCGAUUGCGAAGGCAGCCUGCCAAGCCAUUACUGACGCUGAUGCACGAAAGCGUGGGGAUCAAACAGGAUUAGAUACCCUGGUAGUCCACGCAGUAAACGAUGAUCACUAGCUGUUUGCGAUACACUGUAAGCGGCACAGCGAAAGCGUUAAGUGAUCCACCUGGGGAGUACGCCGGCAACGGUGAAACUCAAAGGAAUUGACGGGGGCCCGCACAAGCGGAGGAACAUGUGGUUUAAUUCGAUGAUACGCGAGGAACCUUACCCGGGUUUGAACGCAUUCGGACCGAGGUGGAAACACCUUUUCUAGCAAUAGCCGUUUGCGAGGUGCUGCAUGGUUGUCGUCAGCUCGUGCCGUGAGGUGUCGGCUUAAGUGCCAUAACGAGCGCAACCCUUGCCACUAGUUACUAACAGGUAAAGCUGAGGACUCUGGUGGGACUGCCAGCGUAAGCUGCGAGGAAGGCGGGGAUGACGUCAAAUCAGCACGGCCCUUACAUCCGGGGCGACACACGUGUUACAAUGGCGUGGACAAAGGGAAGCCACCUGGCGACAGGGAGCGAAUCCCCAAACCACGUCUCAGUUCGGAUCGGAGUCUGCAACCCGACUCCGUGAAGCUGGAUUCGCUAGUAAUCGCGCAUCAGCCAUGGCGCGGUGAAUACGUUCCCGGGCCUUGUACACACCGCCCGUCAAGCCAUGGGAGCCGGGGGUACCUGAAGUCCGUAACCGCGAGGAUCGGCCUAGGGUAAAACUGGUGACUGGGGC